rnacentral:rRNA from 1 species
AACGAACGCUGGCGGCGUGGAUAAGACAUGCAAGUCGGACGAGAUUUUUCGUUGUAGCAAUAUGAUGGGAAGUUUAGUGGCGAACGGGUGCUUAACACGUGGGCAACCUGCCAGGAAGUGGGGGAUAGCUCGCCGAAAGGCGAAUUAAUACCGCAUGUGAUUAGAGAGGACAUCCUUUCGAAAUUAAAGUCGGGGCAACCUGACGCUUCUUGUGGGGCCCGCGGCCUAUCAGCUAGUUGGUGGGGUAACGGCUCACCAAGGCUUUGACGGGUAGCUGGUCUGAGAGGACGACCAGCCACACUGGGACUGAGACACGGCCCAGACAACUCCGGGUGGCAGCAGUCGAGAAUUUUUGACAAUGGGGGAAACCCUGAUCGAGCGACGCCGCGUGGAGGAUGAAGGUCUUCGGAUUGUAAACUCCUGUCAUUGGGGAACAAUGCGUGACGGUUAACUGCCGUCGCGUUGAUAGUACCCGAAGAGGAAGAGACGGCUAACUCUGUGCCAGCAGCCGCCGUAAUAC